rnacentral:rRNA from 1 species
GGUUAAGCGACUAAGCGUACACGGUGGAUGCCCUGGCAGUCAGAGGCGAUGAAGGACGUGCUAAUCUGCGAAAAGCGCCGGCGAGGUGAUAUGAACCUUUGACCCGGCGAUGUCCGAAUGGGGAAACCCAGUGUGUUCCGACACACUAUCGUUAACUGAAUACAUAGGUUAACGAGGCGAACCGGGGGAACUGAAACAUCUAAGUACCCCGAGGAAAAGAAAUCAACCGAGAUUCCCCCAGUAGCGGCGAGCGAACGGGGAGCAGCCCG